rfam:Myotis davidii contig214845, whole genome shotgun sequence.
CUGUCUCUUGCUUCAACAGUGCUUGUAUGGAACAG